rnacentral:rRNA from 1 species
AGUGAACGCUGGCGGUAGGCCUAACACAUGCAAGUCGAACGGCAGCACAGUAAGAGCUUGCUCUUACGGGUGGCGAGUGGCGGACGGGUGAGGAAUACAUCGGAAUCUACUUUUUCGUGGGGGAUAACGUAGGGAAACUUACGCUAAUACCGCAUACGACCUACGGGUGAAAGCAGGGGAUCUUCGGACCUUGCGCGAUUGAAUGAGCCGAUGUCGGAUUAGCUAGUUGGCGGGGUAAAGGCCCACCAAGGCGACGAUCCGUAGCUGGUCUGAGAGGAUGAUCAGCCACACUGGAACUGAGAAACGGUCCAGACUCCUACGGGAGGCAGCAGUGGGGAAUAUUGGACAAUGGGAGCAAGCCUGAUACAGCCAUACCGCGUGGGUGAAGAAGGCCUUCGGGUUGUAAAGCCCUUUUGUUGGGAAAGAAAAGCAGCAGGUUAAUACCCAGCUGUUCUGACGGUACCCAAAGAAUAAGCACCGGCUAACUUCGUG